rnacentral:rRNA from 1 species
UUACCCAGGCUUAAAUUGCAGUGGAAUAUGGAUGAAAGUUCAUAGCCUUCGGGCCGCUGUGAAGGUGCUGCAUGGUUGUCGUCAGCUCGUGCCGUGAGGUGUCGGCUUAAGUGCCAUAACGAGCGCAACCCUUAUCUUUAGUUACUAACAGGUGAUGCUGAGGACUCUAAAGAGACUGCCGUCGUAAGAUGCGAGGAAGGUGGGGAUGACGUCAAAUCAGCACGGCCCUUACGUCUGGGGCUACACACGUGUUACAAUGGGGGGUACAGAAGGCAGCUACACAGCGAUGUGAUGCUAAUCCCAAAAGCCUCUCUCAGUUCGGAUCGAAGUCUGCAACCCGACUUCGUGAAGCUGGAUUCGCUAGUAAUCGCGCAUCAGCCACGGCGCGGUGAAUACGUUCCCGGGCCUUGUACACACCGCCCGUCAAGCCAUGGGAGCCGGGGGUACCUGAAGUACGUAACCGCAAGGAGCGUCCUAGGGUAAAACUGGUGACUGGGGCU